rnacentral:rRNA from 1 species
AGCGAACGCUGGCGGCAGGCUUAACACAUGCAAGUCGAACGCCCCGCAAGGGGAGUGGCAGACGGGUGAGUAACACGUGGGAACGUACCCUUUGGUUCGGAAUAACUUGGGGAAACUCAAGCUAAUACCGGAUAAGCCCUUAUGGGGAAAGGUUUACUGCCGAAGGAUCGGCCCGCGUCUGAUUAGAUAGUUGGUGAGGUAAUGGCUCACCAAGGCGACGAUCAGUAGCUGGUCUGAGAGGAUGAUCAGCCACACUGGGACUGAGACACGGCCCAGACUCCUACGGGAGGCAGCAGUGGGGAAUAUUGGACAAUGGGGGCAACCCUGAUCCAGCCAUGCCGCGUGAGUGAUGAAGGCCUUAGGGUUGUAAAGCUCUUUUACCCGGGAUGAUAAUGACUGUACCGGGAGAAUAAGCCCCGGCUAACUUCGUGCCAGCCGCCGCAGUAA